UGGCUCAGAACGAACGCUGGCGGCGUGCCUAACACAUGCAAGUCGAGCGCGAAUGGGGAAACCCUAGUAGAGCGGCGCACGGGUGCGUAACACGUGGAUAAUCUGCCUGGAUGCCUGGGAUAACCAGUCGAAAGAUUGGCUAAUACCGGAUAAGCCCACGGCCUCUUCGGAGACUGAGGGAAAAGGUGGCCUCUGUAUACAAGCUAUCACAACCAGAUGAGUCCGCGGCCCAUCAGCUAGUUGGCGGGGUAAUGGCCCACCAAGGCAACGACGGGUAGCUGGUCUGAGAGGACGAUCAGCCACACUGGAACUGAGACACGGUCCAGACUCCUACGGGAGGCAGCAGUGGGGAAUUUUGCGCAAUGGGCGAAAGCCUGACGCAGCAACGCCGCGUGUGUGAUGAAGGUCUUUGGAUUGUAAAGCACUUUCGACCGGGACGAAAACCCGGAGGCUAACAUCCUCCGGCUUGACGGUACCGGGAGAAGAAGCACCGGCUAACUCUGUGCCAGCAGCCGCGGUAAUACAGAGGGUGCAAGCGUUGUUCGGAAUUAUUGGGCGUAAAGCGCGUGUAGGCGGCUUUGCAAGUCGGGUGUGAAAGCCCUCAGCUCAACUGAGGAAGUGCGCCCGAAACUGCAGAGCUUGAGUGCCGGAGAGGGUGGCGGAAUUCCCCAAGUAGAGGUGAAAUUCGUAGAUAUGGGGAGGAACACCGGUGGCGAAGGCGGCCACCUGGACGGUAACUGACGCUGAGACGCGAAAGCGUGGGUAGCAAACAGGAUUAGAUACCCUGGUAGUCCACGCCGUAAACGAUGAGAACU
rnacentral:rRNA from 1 species